CCCCCUCAAGAUGAGAUUUCCCAUAGCGUAAGCUAGUAAGAUCCCUGAAAGAUGAUCAGGUUGAUAGGUUCGAGGUGGAAGCAUGGUGAUAUGUGGAGCUGACGAAUACUAAUAGAUCGAGGACUUAACCAUAUAAUAUGUA
rnacentral:rRNA from 1 species